CUGAAAGAGGGAUCUAUAUAACAAUUUUAUGUAUCUUAUCCCCCCCCCCCAACUCCAUUGUAUAAUGAAACUGUGUUUAUCUAGGGUAUGUUCCACUGAACUUCUAGAAAAUGGAAUGAAAGGCAAUGAUGCAGAGUGAGAAAACACAUAUAGCACAUAUUUUUUUGUAAAAUGUUUAUGCCCUCGUAUAUGAAAUAAUAAAUAUUACUACGGGGUAUAACAAGAUAUUAUCAUGCUUCUAUUCUCUCUGUUAUUGCGUAUACGAAGAAAGUGACAACAUAAACCCAAAAACAAAGCAGGUAGAACAAGAAACUCACUCCCAUGGGACAUCUACAACAAACAUACAGUUACCAAAUCAAAAAGCAUUUCUCGCCUUCCCUCAUGUGUUACACCUUCUAAUUAAGAUUUCGCAACAAUUGUAAGAAUUGAUGAAGUCUAAAGGAACAAAAAAAAAUUCCAACAAUACUUACAAAUUUAUCUCCGAAGGUAGAAUUCAUUGUGAAUUUGAGCUAUCUUCAAACAGAAUUGAUACAAUGCUUUGUUCAUGUAAACCUAAAGUAAAACCCAAUAAUCAAUCGAAAGAAUUAAAAAAAAAAACAAUGAUUAAUUCAAGAAACCAAACAACUGAAACACCAGAUUCGAAGAAACGGAAACAAAUGUUUCAUAAAAUUUAAUGAACAUAUACCUACAUAGAAAUAAGAGAAAUUAGACAAAGAGAGGAGAAAUUUUAAAAAAUUCUACUCUAUUGAGAAAGAAUCGAGAGCCCCAAGCACUAAGCAGAAGGGACCUUUUGGGGUGUUAUGUAAAACUCUAUGCAGCUGGCAUUUACUGUAAAGUAAAGGGAAAAUGUAAAGUAAAGGAAAAAUGUAAGAUGUUAAUUCUAAAAUAACAGAUAAAGUUUUCCAUGUAAAAGUCAAAGAGAUAAAGGAAUGUUAUUGGAUGAUAGGGGAAAGAAUACACCUGAAACAAAACCAGAAUAUCAAUAGAAGAAAUUGAGAAAAACAAUGAUUAAUUCAAGAAAUACAUGACUAUAUGGAUUGCAUGGGAUUAGAAAUUUUACAUUUAAAGAAUAAGGUGAUCCAUUGUAAGGAUUUAGAUGCAAAGACAUUGUUUGCAUUCAUGAAGGGUAUGACCAGGUCCACCGGGCCUAUAGGAAAUGUUUGGGUUAUUGGGGCUCGGAAUGCAGAGGAGUCGACACUAAUCAAAUGCAUUUAAGAAGAAAGAAAGGGUAAAGGUCAUAAAACUUACAGAAUCCACCAUUUGUCGAACAACACUCGAUAUUUUGAGAAUUGGAAGAAUAUUGUCUGCUAAGGCAAAAAUAUAUAACACUCAAGGCCUCCUAUAUUUGUAUUUAAUGUCUAUGAGAUUGAACGAGGAGCACAUAACAAUUGAGAUAUAGAAAGAGCCACAAC
rnacentral:lncRNA from 1 species